UAUAUAACAUUUCUAUAUCGUGUGUGUGUGUGUGUGCACAUUCUCAUCUUGAUCUAAUGUGAUUAUGUUACUCUAAUCUUUUUUGUUGUAAAACACUUAGAUGUUAAGACUUAUUAAUUAUAAUAAAAUACAAAAACAAAACAUGUACAUUUUUAUUAAUAACAAAACAAAAUGUUACAAACUGAUUCAGCAAACAGUAAAAUAAACAGCACACAAAUAUAAAUCAAUAACUUGGUGAAAAAAAAGCAUGUGGUAUAUAAAUACGCAGGUAUAUUUUAAAAGCAGAGAAAAGCAAAGAACCUCUGCACAGAGAGACGCGUUAGAGGGACGCGUUAGAGGGUAAAGACGUGUUAGAGGGUAAAGACGUGUUAGAGGGUAAAGACGUGUUAGAGGGUAAAGACGUGUUAGAGGG